UUGGAUAUCCAUGAGAUCAAGCAACGCAUGGUAAAUUGAUCUCCGCUCCAGUAGGUGAUGGAAGCUGCCGACCAAAUCCAUGCAUAAACAAAGAUGAUAGUAUUAUUUUGAAUUGUCUGAGCUGUGGAGGCACAGAAAUGAAAGUUUAUAUGAGGAAGAAGGAGUGCAAUGAAAAAUAGGUAAGCAGCCAUCCGUGUGAAUCCAUAAGUCUGCUUUUACUUAUAGAUUCAUAUUAUGUUUGAUCCAAUCCAUUUCUUGAAAUCUGAUUUCAAUACACUAAUUUUCAUUGUAUCAAUUUGGACAUUGACCAUUGGCUGGUUCCAUACUAAACCCGGGA
rnacentral:lncRNA from 1 species